UUACAGCCCAAGUACUUCUCUCUAAGACAGCUAUUAAUCUGAGCUCCAGUUCCAAGUAUUCUUCAAAGAGUACUUGGGCAUUUCUUCAGUUCCAAGUACUCUUCAAAGAGUACUCUGGGCAUUUCUUAGGUCUGGAUGCCCCAGUGAAGGCCAUGAAAAGCAUCUGUGUGGUUCUUGCUACAUGAUCUCCUGGACAGCCUCCUAGCACCUUUUUUGCCUUCCUUUCUGGCUGUCUUCUGACCCAGGAAUGCUGCAGCUGUGACCAAGUCACAUGUCUAUUUCAAGAGUGUUACAAACGCAGGAGUUUUAUUUUAUAUUGUUUUAUGUUAUUGUUUUAAAAUUGGUACAUUUGCUGUACAUGCAAUUACAAACAUCUUGGAGACUGGGUACAGGACUCUUUGAAGAACACUCUAUUCAUUAUCAAUCCUCAUUUAAGCUUUCCUAAAAUUAAAAACAUGCCCUGAUGAAGUAAACCAUCCAAAAAGAAGGCAAAAUGAAAUGGAUGUGUUUUGAUUUCUUGUAACUAUCAUCAGUUUAUUGUGCUACUAUUCUUUGGAUAAUGAAACUGAGACACAAAGGAGCACAUAAAUUCCUCCAAAAUCAAAGUUACCCUGCCAGCAAGUGGAUGAGUUGAUAGCAUGCGGUGCUAAUCUUGAUGGCUAAACUCUUCCCCAUUAUGAUACUCUAUAGGUGUGAGUGUUGGAGAUGGAGGUGGUGGCUGUGACGAGGUACAGAUGUUCACAAACUGUUAGCAUGGUUGCUACAAGUUUCAAAUUGGCAUUUUAUAAACUGUAAUUUGAAUUGCUCCUUCAUUGAAUCUAAUAAAAAUUUUAAUUACAUUGAAUAUUUUACUUUAAGUAUUCAAAUGCUCAAGUAAAUGUACAGUACAAACCAACCAAUACUGCAUUUUAUUUUCACUAGCUAGCUCUUAGCAUGGAUGUAAACCCUAGAGUGGCAUUAGAAUGUGAGUUUGGCCUUCCUUCUGGACUUCCUAUAUCAUGUAUCUUGCCAUGACAGUAGUUCUGGGGAGCUAAAUAUUUGUGACUGUGUUUAGUUUAGAAAAUCUGUUCUUCUCGUGAAAUUACUUUGAAGCUAUAUGUUAAGGAUACACAGCAUCUGUUUCCUGUUUAUAAUUUUAGUCUUCUAACAUAUACUUAUGAGAAACAUAAUGAAGCAAAUUGAGUGUUUACGAAGUUAUUUUACUAAUAGACAUUCUGCAUGGUACAAAAUGAUCACGUCUAAAAAAUGUGUGGAUUAAAAACUAUUUCAAAUUCCAUACUUGUAAAUAAUAUAAGAAAUGUAAAAAAACAGGA